rnacentral:rRNA from 1 species
GAUGAACGCUGGCGGCGUGCCUAAUACAUGCAAGUCGAGCGAACGGACGAGAAGCUUGCUUCUCUGAUGUUAGCGGCGGACGGGUGAGUAACACGUGGAUAACCUACCUAUAAGACUGGGAUAACUUCGGGAAACCGGAGCUAAUACCGGAUAAUAUUUUGAACCGCAUGGUUCAAAAGUGAAAGACGGUCUUGCUGUCACUUAUAGAUGGAUCCGCGCUGCAUUAGCUAGUUGGUAAGGUAACGGCUUACCAAGGCAACGAUGCAGAGCCGACCUGAGAGGGUGAUCGGCCACACUGGAACUGAGACACGGUCCAGGCUCCUACGGGAGGCAGCAGUAGGGAAUCUUCCGCAAUGGGCAAAAGCCUGACGGAGCAACGCCGCGUGAGUGAUGAAGGUCUUCGGAUCGUAAAACUCUGUUAUUAGGGAAGAACAUAUGUGUAAGUAACUGUGAACAUCUUGACGGUACCUAAUCAGAAAGCCACGGCUAACUACGUG